CGAUAUGCCCAAAUUAUUAUUUUACUGAUGAAAAUUUUUAUUUAAAUUUAAUUUUAAAACAUAUUUAAAAAUAUUAUGUUUCGGUUCCUCAGUAGAGAAAAAUCUCCUCCUUUCCUUCCAUAAGGAAGAAUCUUUUUUUGUUCAGGCCGGCCAUUCCCUCGUUGAGAAAUUUUAUUUUAUCAAUAAAUUUGAGCAUAAUUUUUGUGGAGUUUGCUCUGUUGUUAUGGGUGCUACAUCUAAUGUUGUAGACGAUAAAGAGGGGAGGUUGCCACGGGAAGUAAAGGAUGCUUUACAAUUGUUGGCAUCUGAGUGGGAUGAUAUAGUGGACUUGAAAGCUUUGCAGGUGAUCCCUCUUAAAGGUGCGAUGACCAAUGAGGUCUUCCAAAUAAAAUGGCCAACCAGGACAGAUGAUGUGUCACGAAAGGUUUUAGUUAGGAUUUAUGGUGAGGGUGUGGAGGUGUUCUUUGACCGGGAUGAUGAGAUCCGGACAUUUGAGUUUAUGUCAAUGCAUGGGCAAGGACCUUGUUUGCUAGAACGGUUCCCAAAUGGGCGAAUUGAAGAGUUCAUCCAUGCACGGACACUAUCAGCAUCUGAUUUGCGUGAUCCAGAUAUAUCAGCUCUAAUAGCAGCCAAAUUGAGGGAGUUCCAUGAACUUGAGAUGCCCGGUCCAAAGAAAGUUUGGCUAUGGGAUAGAUUGCGAAAUUGGCUUAAUGCAGCCAAAGGAGUUUGCCCUCUGGAAGAAGCUAAAGCCUUUUGCUUGGAAGCUUUUGAGGAGGAAAUCUGUAUGUUGGAAAAGAAACUCUUUGGGGGCCAUCAACGCAUAGGUUUCUGCCACAAUGAUUUACAAUAUGGUAACAUAAUGAUGGAUGAAGAGACUAAAUCAAUAACGAUUAUUGAUUACGAGUAUGCAAGUUACAAUCCUGUUGCCUAUGAUAUUGCAAACCACUUUUGUGAGAUGGCUGCUGACUAUCAUACAGAAACACCCCACAUUAUGGAUUAUAGUAAAUAUCCAGGUUUGGAAGAGCGGUUAAGAUUUCUGCGAGUAUACCUGGACUCUUUAGGUAAGGAACCUAAAGACACUGAAGUGGAGCAGCUGCUUCAAGAUGUUGAGAAAUAUACUCUAGCAAGUCAUCUCACUUGGGGCUUGUGGGGAAUAAUAUCGUUAUCCUCCUUAGGAGCAUGUGAAUGAAAUUGACUUUGACUACAAGGAUUAUGCCAGGCAGAGGUUUCAGCAGUACUGGAUGCGGAAGCCUGAGCUAUUGGACUCUUCUUGAGCCCCCACUUUUUAAUGUUUGUAGGCCUCGUGAUUUAUGCAAUUUUACGAGGUAACCAUCUCAUGAUUAAGAUGUGAUGAUGCAGUUUUGCUUAUGUUAUAUGGCAUGAAAUAACAUGAACAUUGUUUUUUGUAUGUUAAACAAAGAAAAACCUUAAGGACAUGGAUUGGUCUGUUCAAGUAAAUAUUUCAGAUUGUGCAUACUGAAGGCCGAAAAAGAUGAUUUUUAAUCGCGUGAAUUGCAGCAAAGGGACGAAAUGAUAGCAAAUAAAAUACAAACCUUGAAUCAAUAAUUUUUUUUAGCAAUAUGUAAUAAUUCAUCUGAGAGAUUAUAUCAUAAUGCUUCAUCUAGUUGGGGAGGCAGUAGUUGACUCUAGUUACUAGGGUUUUUCGGAUAUUUCUUGUAAAUUGGUUUGAAUCCACCGUUUUCUAUCUGAGUUUUGUCCACAUGAUAGCAUCAUACAUUUAGUUAUCAAAGUGCUUGCAAGAUGAUAUAUCUGACAAUUUAUGUCAUCGUGACAUGUACAAUAUUAUAUUCCUAUCAUGUUUUAUGUAAAGAUCACGAAUCAUAAUUUAUAUUGAUAU